GAGCUUGCUCCCGGAUGUUAGCGGCGGACGGGUGAGUAACACGUGGGUAACCUGCCUGUAAGACUGGGAUAACUCCGGGAAACCGGAGCUAAUACCGGAUAGUUCCUUGAACCGCAUGGUUCAAGGAUGAAAGACGGUUUCGGCUGUCACUUACAGAUGGACCCGCGGCGCAUUAGCUAGUUGGUGAGGUAACGGCUCACCAAGGCGACGAUGCGUAGCCGACCUGAGAGGGUGAUCGGCCACACUGGGACUGAGACACGGCCCAGACUCCUACGGGAGGCAGCAGUAGGGAAUCUUCCGCAAUGGACGAAAGUCUGACGGAGCAACGCCGCGUGAGUGAUGAAGGUUUUCGGAUCGUAAAGCUCUGUUGUUAGGGAAGAACAAGUGCAAGAGUAACUGCUUGCACCUUGACGGUACCUAACCAGAAAGCCACGGCUAACUACGUGCCAGCAGCCGCGGUAAUACGUAGGUGGCAAGCGUUGUCCGGAAUUAUUGGGCGUAAAGGGCUCGCAGGCGGUUUCUUAAGUCUGAUGUGAAAGCCCCCGGCUCAACCGGGGAGGGUCAUUGGAAACUGGGAAACUUGAGUGCAGAAGAGGAGAGUGGAAUUCCACGUGUAGCGGUGAAAUGCGUAGAGAUGUGGAGGAACACCAGUGGCGAAGGCGACUCUCUGGUCUGUAACUGACGCUGAGGAGCGAAAGCGUGGGGAGCGAACAGGAUUAGAUACCCUGGUAGUC
rnacentral:rRNA from 1 species